rnacentral:rRNA from 1 species
AUGGCAGGCUCCGGCGAAAGCGCGAGAACUUCGGCGCCGUCGCCUCCCGGGCCGCCCCCCGGGUUCGGCGAGGGCGCCCCGCCGGACAACGCUCUGCACGCCCUGGGCUUCGAGUACACCCGCAUCACCGGGACCGAGGUCCUCGGCCGCCUCGCCGUCACCGAGACCUGCUGCCAGGUACGUGCGCGCGUGCGCCCGCCGCCGCCGCCGGACGCCUUGCCAGACCAUAUGUGUAUGUACUUGCGCCGUGAUCGUCUUAAUCAGUUGCUGCCGUCGGCGUGGUCGCAGCCCUUCAAGAUCCUCAACGGCGGCGUCUCGGCGCUGAUGGCGGAGUCAACGGCGAGCAUCGGCGGGUACAUGGCGUCCGGGUACCGGAGGGUGGCCGGCGUGCAGCUCUCCAUCAACCACCUCAAGCCGGCGCGCCUCGGCGACCGCAUCGAGGCCAAGGCGAACCCCAUCCAGGUUGGCCGCAACGUCCAGGUUUGGGAGGUCCAGAUAUGGCUGUUGGAUCCUUCCACAUCGGAGCACAAAGAUUUGGUAUCAUCAGCAAGGGUUACCCUGCUAACCAACUUGUCAACGCCAGAGGAAAUGAAGAGCUAUGAGAAGGGCAUCAAGAAAUAUGCAAAGCUUUAG